rnacentral:SRP_RNA from 1 species
GGUAGCCCCUCGUGCGGCGUGUAUCCCGUGAACCUCCCCAGGGCCGGAAGGCAGCAAGGAUAAGCGGGCUCUGACGGGUGCACGAGGGGUCCUUCACUU